GGUGACUCACAGACUGACCCUCUCUUUGGUCUGGUUUUUCAGAGGGUUAUCUUUAGAUCUCCAGGUCAUCCCAACCUCUAGGACACCCCUGGUCUGAAGGCCGAGCCAGCCAUAUUAAUGUUCUCAGCACACACUUGGCUUACUCACUGGGAUUUCUGUUCCAGCAGCCUCUCCGUUCUAGUUGUGUAUCCACUACACACAUUUUUGGUUGGUGUCUACAAUGCCUCGGCUCCAUGCUGGGCACUGAGGACACUGCAAUGCACCAGAAAUGAUCCCUGCCCUGCAGGAGCUGCAAUUGCCUCUUGGUGACUGUUUCUGACACACUUUAUGUGGAAGUUGGUUCAAUCAGGAAAGAGACACCUCUUUGGACCCCCAUCUCUCACCCAGUCCACACUUCCUGGUGGUGACUGGUCGGCUCCCUAGUUUCCUGGUCUGGCCUGAGCAGCCGGAUCUUCUCCUACGUACCUGCUUCAUUUUUCCUGCUGCCUGAAGAGAAUCCUACCAACUUCACUUCUUGGCCUUAUAGGAAGGAGCCACAGUCCCAAAGAAGUCUGGGGAGAGCAGGAUGUGGCAGAGAACAAUGAUCGGUGCCUUGUUUCAGGAGGCAAACGUGGCCCAAUCCAGGGAAAUCAGCAGAUGGCAUGUCAUGGCCAUCGCAGAUCUGAGGAGCUGGCCUUUGGGUGAUUUCUGGUCCACAUGACAAACAUUCAAGGUGAAUUAGAGGAGAAAAGCUACAUGAAGUGAUGUGCAAGUUGAAAAGAGAAAAGGGUGUGGUGCUAUCCAGGAACCAUCUAACGAAAAACCUCUUGCAAGGCAGAUUGAGAAUUUUAAAACAACACUCUCCGACCCAACUGCCCCGUGACAUCUGUUAACACAAAAGGCAGAACUAUUUCCAGGAAAAGCUCUCAGUGUUUGCAAGGGUGAGACCCUUCUGAUGUUUUUGCAACUUUAGUUAAAGAGCCGAGGGAUGGAUUCACAUCCUCGGCAUUUCCCAUGGGGGAACUCACAGACCGGUUGUACACAAUGGUGUACAUUCAAAUGAAAAGAGAAAAAGUCAAUCAGUUAUCCAGAUGUUUUUGAAUUGUACCUGGACAUAGCCACAGUGGGGAUUUGGUCCAUGGUAAUAAUAUAUUAUUCUUGCAAGAUGGUGAGAGAAAAAUGUUCUGAAAGGAAAAAGAAUGUGUUUUCUUCAUACCCUUUUAUACUUUCUUCUCCUUUUGGGGUUUAUGUUUAACAGCAUCCAGCAAAACAGAACAUGGAGACUGAGGACAGAAAAGAGAAAGAAGCGUAGGGCAAGACCCCUCCUCCAAAUUGCAGGUGGGUGCUCCUGGUUGGAUAGAAAUAGACUUGGAGUGGGGUAGGAGUUGUGGAAACAAUACUUAGGCAGAGCCUGGCAGCUCCAGGGUGAAGGAGCAGAUACAUAGUAGGUGGGCACUCAGAAAGUAUGAAUGGCAUUAAACACGACAGUUUGUUUCUCACAUAGUUUUUUAGUAUUUCUUUCUUUGAAGUCUAAACUUUCACCAUUAGAAAUCUAGUUCUUUGACUUAAGGAAAAGGUUCUCAGACAUAAGUGUGCAUAGGAGUCAUCCUAGAAAUAUGUUAAUUUGCAGGUUUCUGGGUGGAGGCCACUCUCAGAGAUUCAGAUUCAGUAGGUCUGGGGUGGUUCCCAUGAAUGUGCACUAUGAACAAGUAUCCCAAAUGGUUCUAGCGUGUCUCUACUUUGUGAGACAAUUAAGGCAUUGCCUAUUCCAGCUAUUCUCUUUCAAAAGAAGACACAGGCUGCAAAGAGUAACCGUCCAUCCACAGUAUGGGAACCAGGUUCCAGAAAAGCUAGGGUCUAAUCUCAGCUCUCCACCCUUCUUGCUGUAUGAUUUUGCGCCAUACAAAUACACUCUAAGAAAUUCAUUUUCCUCACCCACAAAAUGGAGAAGAAAAUUUUAGCCUAAAUACCUGUCUGACUGAUGGGUCAAUGUAAUAACAUUAUUAAAUAAAAUGAUUAAUGUAAAAGCCUUGAAGAGGCUUUGAAAAGUAUUUCAUUCUAUCCACAUAUAAAUUGUUCUUAUUAUUUCCCAUUAUCACCCAUUAACACAUGCAUUUGAACUAGUUUGCGAGAUUAAGCAUUAGUGUAAGAGAUGAACUUAGAGCGUAAGGGAUAGCUCAGAAAGGGAAGGUGUGGGUAGUGCCACUGUGGCUUGCCCAAGGCUGCCAGGACGGCUCAGGAGGACCCCGAGAUGGGGAGAUAGGCGAAGUAUGGGGAUGAGGGGUGGGGUGAGCAUUGGAGAAAAUCUGAACUUCACAGUUUUGUUUCAGGUUUCAGGUUAUUGGGCACUAAUAAUGUGCUUGGGGAGAGUUCUGUGUUUUUUACUCUCAAGAUAUUUUAAUAAGCCUUGAGAGACCCACAGAGUAGAGUGUAGGAGGACAGUUUUUUGUGGAAAAAUAAAGAAGAGGAACAUUAUGGAAAUUGUAUGGGAAAAGAAUCAGCUUCAAUGUAAAACUUAAAGAACGUAUUCAAACCAACCACAGACGGCCUCUCACCUUCUGGAUAAUCUUGCUCUACUUUUGGACAACAAGAAUGGUUGGCUAUCUUCAUAUCCCCUAGGCUGGUUUAGAAAUAGCCACUUCCUUUGGGAAUUCAAGCCAAUAAAGAACCCUGCCUUCCAAGGGUGGAGAACUGAGCUAUGUGUGUGUGCAUUCAUCUCCCACAAAGAGGGGCGUAACAUCUCCAUCUCCCCUGCUGCUUGCGAUUAGCAAAUUUGGGAACAGGGGAAUGAUGCCUGUCUCUUCCUUAGCACAGAACGUCAGAGGCCCGAAGAUGUGAUUCCUAAGGGAAGGGAGGAAAUAUGUACAGGGUGGACUGGGGAGCAGGGCCAGUUGCACAAGGAGCCUGCAGUGGAGAGCUCAACAUGAGCCUGGAUCCAGCAGAUUACAUCUUGGCCAGCUAGACCAUUCUGAAUCAGACAGAUCCCGAAG
rnacentral:lncRNA from 10 species